rnacentral:tRNA from 1 species
GCUGUAGCUCAGUGGUAGAGCACUUGCCUAACACGUGCAAGGCUCUGGGUUCCACCCCUAGCACUGCA